CAGUUCGUACCCGGUGGGUUAAUCAGCCCUUCCGGCGUGGAUUAUGGGGGAGCGUGGAGGAGUUAAACGCCCCUCCAUGCCUGCAUAUUCGUGGUUCUUUGGGGUGUACUUACCCGCAUGGGUAGGUUAACAUCAAUUUCGAACGUCAUAAAAUGGUUGGAGGAAUGUAGCUCCGAUCUCGUAUUGAAGUGUUAUAGCCUUCGGCAGAUGUGAUGAUCGGAAUUGAGGAUUGCAACGGAUACCCCUCGGGCUACCCGUCUGAUCUCUGAAAGUUACUCUGGUGCCGAAAGCUCGCUUACGGUCAUCAAAGUUGACGUUCAACAGGUUAGAACGGGAUAAA
rnacentral:rRNA from 1 species